AUGGCUGCUGCUGACAAACCUCCUUCUCCUUCUCCUCUUCCUCUUCCUCCUCCUGCAGGGCCCAGCUUCCUCCCCAGCCCCAGCACUUCUUGCGCCUUCGCUCGCAGCUCUGCUGACUUUGGCACAGAACAGCCCCUCCAGCAGGAUGUGGAAAUAAAUAGCUGUGAGGGACACAAACUCAAAAGCUUCAGUCAUCAGAGGAAAUCCGUGUGGGCCAGCAGUAAGGGCAACAAAACCCACAGCCAUGCCAGUUCCCAGUCAUCCUCAGGAUUUCAUGAACUUCAUCCAGAACAAAGCAGGAGAGUCCCCUGGGCAGUGCAAACAGUGCUCUCGUUGGCUGUUAGUACAGAGGCAAUUUCAGUCCCAUCAUCUCUGAAAGACUGGGCUUCUCUGGUGUCCGUGGGAGCAGAGGUCCCACUCCAGAGGAAGAAGAAGUACUUGGGACUGUGUGGGGAUGAGAAUACAUCUGACAAGCAGGCUCUGGGCCAUGUAGCAAGACAGAGUAUGGGGCUUGUUCCCCUUUAUUUUCUUUCAUAACCACCCAGGAGAAAUAUCUGUUAUUUUUUUUCAGGGGAUUAAUAUCUGAAAUGGGUUAAUUCUACAGUACAUGCCCUGCCUAUGAAGCAUAAUAGGAAAUCCUCC
rnacentral:lncRNA from 1 species